UUGACACCCAAUUCAAGUCUUCAUACAUGUAUUUUAUAGAAUGAUGACCAUCACAUUCCACCAUCCUUGCUAAUCCCCUUCUCCCUCCCUUUCCCUCCCACCCCUCUUCCCUAUCUAGAAUUACUCUAAUCCUCCCAUGCUCUCCCUCCCUACCUCACUAUGAGCACCCCCUUUAUAUCAGAGAAAACAUUCCACAUUUCUUUUUUGGGAUUGGCUGACUUCGCUUUGCAUUAUCUUCUCCAACCCCAUCCAUUUGCAGGUAAAUGGAGAUCUAUCUUCUUAACACAUGUUAAAGUGCACAAAACCAUAUUGUUAAUGAUAGGUAUUAAGAUAUAGAACAGAUUUUUAGUACUUAUUCAUUUUGUAACUGAAACUUUAUACCAACUGAGAAACAGAAGGAGGAUUCUGGAGAUGAUGAAUAUGUUUGGUACUUUGAUGUGGGGAUGGAAUCAUGGGUGUAUGCAUAUGUCAAAACUCAUCAAAAUAUAUACAUUAAAUAUGUGCGAUGUUCAUACAUCAAUUACAGUUAAAUAAAGCUUAAAAAUUGAUCUAAUAUGUACAUGAGAAUGGUUGGACUGCACUCAGUUCUCAAGUACUUUAGGGAAUUUAUCUGUAUUAAUACUUAUUUCAUACAAAGUAAUGUGAAAAGCUCCUUUGAAGUUACGUAUCUUCCUUCAGAUACUACUUGAUUUUUCCAUCACACACAAAAAAUUCUCAAUAGAAACUGAUUUUUUCCCCUUCCUUAUUUUCCAGUAUCCCUUCAACUCACUCCUGUUAGGCUUUUUCCCCCACAAUUGCAUCAAAACUUACUUUUAUCAAGGUUCCCACAAUACUGUCAUACAAUAAUCUAUUCAUAGUCCUCACCUUAUACAAACUCGGCAGUAUAUACUAGAAUUGAUCACUCCCUCCAAUUCAAAACAACAUAUUCUCUUCACUUCUGUGACACCCAUAUUCCUGGAGUUCCUUCCACUUCACUGGCCACUGUUCCUCUCUUAUUGACUCUUCUCCUACCCAAUCUGAAAAUGUUGAAGUUCUUUCAGUUUCAGAGUCAUAUCUUUUUAUCUUCCCUAGUUAAUAUUUCUCGGAUGACCUCAUCAAUUAGCAUGGCCAUGAAUGUCAUUUAUAUAGUGAUGAUCUUCAAAAUUACAUCUCCAGCCCUGGAUUCUCUCCAAGCUCCACAUUCAUAUAUCUAAAUAUAUCUUUUAUUUCUCCAUUUGAAUAUCAAAUAGAUAUUUUAACUUAUAACACAAACUGAACUGUUGAUUCAAAUUCCAGCCUCAAUCCUUGAACUUAUGUUUCCCAGUUUCCCCAAUAUAAUAAAUUGCAUCACUAUCCCACUCAGUUAAAUAAGUGAGAAACCUGAGUCAUCCUUAAUUCCCUCUUUUCCUUCACCCCACCAUAUCUAAUCCAUUAACAAGUACUGUCCAUUCUUUCUCCAAAUUAUUAUUUUUAUUUUUCAUUUGUUCUUGUUAGCUAUACAUGACUAUAGAGUGUGUUUUGACAUAUUAAACAUGCAUGGGGUAUAACUUAUUCUAAUUAGGAUCCCAUUCUUGUGGUUUUACAUGAUGUGUAGGCUCACUGGUCAUUUAUUCGUAUAUGAACAGAGGAAAAGUUUCUUGUAGGGACUACUGUAAUGUAUAGUAACCCACUAACCCACUGAUUUUCCUGCCUUCAAUAGUAAUGCAUUCUCUGCAUAGCAGCCAGAGUGAUCAUUUUUAAAUAUAAAGAAGAUUAUGGCAUUACCCUGUUAAAAAUCUUCUAACAGCUUCCCGUUGUGCUUUUUUUUUUUUUUUUGUACUGGGGAUUAAACCCAGGGGCACUCAACCAGUGAGCCACAUCCCCAGCCCUUUUCUUUAUUUCAUUUAGAGACAGUUGCUUACGGCCUCGCUAAAUUGCUGAGGCUGACUUUGAAAUCUCAAAGUAAUAUAAUGUGCCACUGCACCUGGCCCCUAUUGUGCUUUUGAAUAACAUUCUAACACCAUGUUCCAGAGACAGGCUCCACAUUAUCUAGUUUCUGAGUACCUCUCUAACCUCAUUUUCUACUUAACCUCUUGAUCUCUAUGAUUCAGAU
rnacentral:lncRNA from 1 species